GCUGUGCUUGUAGCCACUGGGCUGUAAGGCUUCCCUCAGGCUCCAGCCGCCGCAGAGACGCCAGACCCUUACAGGGCAUCUGUGUGGGAGCAUCACCCCUAUUUCAGAUGUGGACAGUAGGAGUGGGAAUUGACUGGGCCCAGAGGCAGUGAUGUACAGAGGGAGCUGGCUUUGAACCCAGGCACGUGCACUUUCGUCAGUGGGUCAUCAUGCUGGGACAGUGACUGACUGUACAAGAGCACAGACAAGGACUAGCAAUUUGGAUCGCUGCAGCUUCCUGGGCCUGGGUGAGGUCUGCACCUGAGGAAGCCGCGACAGCAAGUGCCCUGGGCCGCCAGCCUGGUGGGAAGUAGGGCAGGACGAAAACAGGAACUUGAAGUGGGUCAUGCUCGUUGAACUGGAAACACUGAGUUGAUAUCUGGGUUAUUUCCCCUGACUGUCGCAAAACACACUUAGACAAACCCUGCAUUUAUUCCUUUAGAGUUGGGAAUGGGAAGAGUGUGUGUGUGUGUGUGUGUGUGUUGGGGGGUGAGGGGACUACUGCCCAGGCUCUACCUUUGUGGGAGGAUCCUCCCCUUCCUUCCACCAACCCCACUUGGGAUGUCCCAGGCUGGUGGUGAACUCGUUGGGCAGGUCAGUACUGUGUUUAUAAAGCGUGUCCUCAGCACACCCUGCAAAGUGCCUGGCAAAACAUAGGCAUGCCACAGAUACUUUAAAAAAAUGUUUUUCCUGCUUACAAAAGUAAGUCAUGUUGAUUUAAUAAUAUCGAGAAAACACAGAAAAGCAUACACAAAAAGUCACUCUUCGACUUAGACGUGAUUAAUAUUUGGUAUUUGUGUAUAUGUAAAUAUGCAUGAAAGAAAAGCUGAGAAAACAUACUGCAGAGUGUUUUCCACGCUACUAAUUCCUCUCCUAAGACAUGAUUUUUAAAAAUCGAUUUUAUCAAGGUCUAAAUUGCAUGCAAUAAAACUCAGACAUUUUAAGGCA